UACGUAGGGUGCAAGCGUUAAUCGGAAUUACUGGGCGUAAAGCGUGCGUAGGUGGUGAGUUAAGUCUGUCGUGAAAGCCCCGGGCUCAACCUGGGAAUGGCGAUGGAUACUGGCUCGCUAGAGUGCGGUAGAGGAGAGUGGAAUUCCCGGUGUAGCAGUGAAAUGCGUAGAUAUCAGGAGGAACACCGAUGGCGAAGGCAGGUCUCUGGGCCGAUACUGACGCUGAGGAGCGAAAGCGUGGGGAGCGAACAGG
rnacentral:rRNA from 1 species